rnacentral:tRNA from 1 species
GAUCCCGUAGCUCAGCCUGGUUAGAGCGCUGGUCUUAUAAGCCAGAGGCCCCGAGUUCAAAUCUCGGCGGGAUCA